GGACCGAUGGUGUAGUUGGUUAUCACGCCUGUCUAACACAUUGUGUGGUCACAGGCGGUCCUCAGUUCGAGUCUGGGUCGGUUCA
rfam:Gloeophyllum trabeum ATCC 11539 unplaced genomic scaffold GLOTRscaffold_00005, whole genome shotgun sequence.